GUUGUAUGGUUAAGUGACUAAGCGUACACGGUGGAUGCCUUGGCAGUCAGAGGCGAUGAAAGACGUAGUAACUUGCGAUAAGCCCAGAUUAGGUAGUAACAACCAUUUGAGUCUGGGAUUUCUGAAUGGGGAAACCCACKURCAUAAGYAMGUAUCMUUAMCUGAAUACAUAGGKUAAKGAGGCGAACCGGGGGAACUGAAACAUCUAAGUACCCCGAGGAAAAGAAAUCAACCGAGAUUCCGAAAGUAGCGGCGAGCGAAAUUGGACUAGCCCUUAAGCUUUACACGCGUUAGACGAACGGUCUGGAAAGUCCGACGAUACAGGGUGAUAGUCCCGUAGUUGACGACGUGUGUUCAGUGAAAUCGAGUAGGGCGGGACACGUGAUAUCCUGUCUGAAUAUGGGGGGACCAUCCUCCAAGGCUAAAUACUACUGACUGACCGAUAGUGAACCAGUACCGUGAGGGAAAGGCGAAAAGAACCCCUGUGAGGGGAGUGAAAUAGAACCUGAAACCGUGUACGUACAAGCAGUAGGAGCAGGCUUUGUCCUGUGACUGCGUACCUUUUGUAUAAUGGGUCAGCGACUUAUAUUCAGUGGCAAGGUUAACCAUCUAGGGGAGCCGUAGGGAAACCGAGUCUUAACUGGGCGUUCAGUCUCUGGAUAUAGACCCGAAACCAGGUGAUCUAGCCAUGGGCAGGUUGAAGGUUGAGUAACAUCAACUGGAGGACCGAACCGACUAAUGUUGAAAAAUUAGCGGAUGACUUGUGGCUAGGGGUGAAAGGCCAAUCAAACCUGGAGAUAGCUGGUUCUCCCCGAAAGCUAUUUAGGUAGCGCCUCGGACGAAUACUACUGGGGGUAGAGCACUGUUAAGGCUAGGGGGUCAUCCCGACUUACCAACCCUUUGCAAACUCCGAAUACCAGUAAGUACUAUCCGGGAGACACACGGCGGGUGCUAACGUCCGUCGUGGAGAGGGAAACAACCCAGACCGCCAGCUAAGGUCCCAAAUUACUACUAAGUGGGAAACGAUGUGGGAAGGCUCAGACAGCCAGGAUGUUGGCUUAGAAGCAGCCAUCAUUUAAAGAAAGCGUAAUAGCUCACUGGUCGAGUCGGCCUGCGCGGAAGAUGUAACGGGGCUAAGUAGUAAACCGAAGCUGCGGCAAUAUACUUUUGUAUAUUGGGUAGGGGAGCGUUCUGUAAGCGGUUGAAGGUGUGUGGUAACGCAUGCUGGACGUAUCAGAAGUGCGAAUGCUGACAUGAGUAACGAUAAAGGGGGUGAAAAACCUCCUCGCCGGAAGACCAAGGGUUCCUGUCCAACGUUAAUCGGGGCAGGGUAAGUCGACCCCUAAGGCGAGGCCGAAAGGCGUAGUCGAUGGGAAACGGGUUAAUAUUCCCGUACUUCUUACAAUUGCGAUGGGGGGACGGAGAAGGCUAGGUGGGCCUGGCGACGGUUGUCCAGGUUCAAGUGCGUAGGCUUAAGAGUUAGGUAAAUCCGGCUCUUUYUAAGGCUGAGACACGACGUCGAGCACCUACGGGUGUGAAGUCAUUGAUGCCAUGCUUCCAGGAAAAGCCUCUAAGCUUCAGAUUGUAAGGAAUCGUACCCCAAACCGACACAGGUGGUCGGGUAGAGAAUACCAAGGCGCUUGAGAGAACUCGGGUGAAGGAACUAGGCAAAAUGGUACCGUAACUUCGGGAGAAGGUACGCUCUYGAYGGUGAAGUCCCUCGCGGAUGGAGCURWYGAGAGUCGCAGAUACCAGGUGGCUGCAACUGUUUAUUAAAAACACAGCACUGUGCAAAAUCGUAAGAUGACGUAUACGGUGUGACGCCUGCCCGGUGCCGGAAGGUUAAUUGAUGGGGUUAGACUUCGGUCGAAGCUCUUGAUCGAAGCCCCGGUAAACGGCGGCCGUAACUAUAACGGUCCUAAGGUAGCGAAAUUCCUUGUCGGGUAAGUUCCGACCUGCACGAAUGGCGUAAUGAUGGCCACGCUGUCUCCACCCGAGACUCAGUGAAAUUGAAAUCGCUGUGAAGAUGCAGUGUACCCGCGGCUAGACGGAAAGACCCCGUGAACCUUUACUACAGCUUGGCACUGAACAUUGACCCUACAUGUGUAGGAUAGGUGGGAGGCUUUGAAGCACGUACGCCAGUAUGUGUGGAGCCGUCCUUGAAAUACCACCCUUGUAGUGUUGAUGUUCUAACGUCGACCCCUUAUCGGGGUUGCGGACAGUGCCUGGUGGGUAGUUUGACUGGGGCGGUCUCCUCCCAAAGAGUAACGGAGGAGCACGAAGGUGGGCUAAUCACGGUUGGACAUCGUGAGGUUAGUGCAAUGGCAUAAGCCCGCUUGACUGCGAGAAUGACAAUUCGAGCAGGUGCGAAAGCAGGUCAUAGUGAUCCGGUGGUUCUGAAUGGAAGGGCCAUCGCUCAACGGAUAAAAGGUACUCCGGGGAUAACAGGCUGAUACCGCCCAAGAGUUCAUAUCGACGGCGGUGUUUGGCACCUCGAUGUCGGCUCAUCACAUCCUGGGGCUGAAGUCGGUCCCAAGGGUAUGGCUGUUCGCCAUUUAAAGUGGUACGCGAGCUGGGUUUAGAACGUCGUGAGACAGUUCGGUCCCUAUCUGCCGUGGGCGUUGGAAGAUUGAAGGGGGCUGCUCCUAGUACGAGAGGACCGGAGUGGACGAACCUCUGGUGUUCGGGUUGAAGGGUUGUCGGAGACUACGACGUUGAUAGGUCAGGUGUGUAAGUGCUGUGAGGCAUUGAGCUAACUGAUACUAAUUGCCCGUGAGGCUUAACCAUACAACACCCAAGGGGUUU
rnacentral:rRNA from 1 species